AGAGUUUGAUCCUGGCUCAGAGUGAACGCUGGCGGCAGGCCUAACACAUGCAAGUCGAACGGCAGCAUGGAAAGUACUUGUACUUUCUGAUGGCGAGUGGCGGACGGGUGAGGAAUGCAUCGGAAUCUGCCCAUUUGUGGGGGAUAACGUAGGGAAACUUACGCUAAUACCGCAUACGACCUUCGGGUGAAAGCAGGGGAUCUUCGGACCUUGCGCAGAUGGAUGAGCCGAUGCCGGAUUAGCUAGUUGGCGGGGUAAAGGCCCACCAAGGCGACGAUCCGUAGCUGGUCUGAGAGGAUGAUCAGCCACACUGGAACUGAGACACGGUCCAGACUCCUACGGGAGGCAGCAGUGGGGAAUAUUGGACAAUGGGCGCAAGCCUGAUCCAGCCAUGCCGCGUGUGUGAAGAAGGCCUUCGGGUUGUAAAGCACUUUUGUUGGGGAAGAAAAGCAGUUGGUUAAUACCCGAUUGUCAUGACGGUACCCAAAGAAUAAGCACCGGCUAACUUCGUGCCAGCAGCCGCGGUAAUACGAAGGGUGCAAGCGUUACUCGGAAUUACUGGGCGUAAAGCGUGCGUAGGUGGUUUGUUAAGUCUGAUGUGAAAGCCCUGGGCUCAACCUGGGAACUGCAUUGGAUACUGGCAGACUGGAGUGCGGUAGAGGGUAGCGGAAUUCCCGGUGUAGCAGUGAAAUGCGUAGAUAUCGGGAGGAACAUCUGUGGCGAAGGCGGCUACCUGGACCAGCACUGACACUGAGGCACGAAAGCGUGGGGGAGCAAACAGGAUUAGAUACCCUGGUAGU
rnacentral:rRNA from 1 species